AAGUUUACAGAAACGAUCGUCAUGUUGGUAAUGAAAAGGAUUUACGUGGAGGUGUUCUGCUAGCGAUACAAAAUACAUAUUUCUCUUCUUCUGUAUCUUUCCAUUUAAAUUAUCAAUUGAACUGCUCUGGCACCAAUAUUUUACUUCUAGGUGAUUUUAAUUUACCACACAUUGACUGGCUUCCAUCCGAAGACGAAUCCUGCCUUGAAGCUUUUCCUUCUUCUUCACAAAUGGAACUAUCUCUUCUCGAUAAAGUCCUUCUUACUGACUUACAGCAAACAUGCUGUAUUAAAAACUCAAAAAAUCGAAUUCUCGAUCUAGUCUUUUCUUCUGACGCUAUUAGUACUCUAGUUCUAGAAUCUGGAUCAGGAUUUACUAAUAUUGACAAAUAUCAACCCACUUUGGACAUUAUUUUUGACUUAAAAGAUCCAAUUUCUAACAGUUGUCUGAAGAUUUAACCAUUUCUGGAAUUGCUGAUACACUUGCAUAUUCUAACAUUGACGAAGCGGUUUCAAGUUUUUAUAAGAUCCUUAAUUAUUGUUUUGAAAAAAAAGUACCAAU